UUGAUCCAUUAAUGGCAUACCAAACAUGAAAAGACUGAAGCUUUGCAUCAAAGUGGAACAAUUGCAUCUAAAAAUUUGUUCAUAAAUUUACUUCAGCAUCCCUAUGAGCAUCAUUGUUGAUGGAGGAUCUGCGAAGGCCUCAACGAAAGCCUGGGAAUCUACGUUAUACUAGUAUGCGUGGAUGUCCUGGACCCAGGCAAUGGAAGGGAACAGUCUAGGGGUCCAACAACUGCACGUAUACUCGUGUCGGCUGUCUGUGGUAGGUGUUCCUCUUUGGAGAGUGAGGGAGCUACGAGUCCAUACUGCAGUGCGUGCACGUUCGUAUAUCAUCAUCAAUAACUCACACAAACAGAGACAAGACCAAGCCUAGGUUCCAGAAACAUGGUCCAAAAUGAAGAACAGUGCUCAGGGCUUGGCACUGUGAGGGUGGAGUGGAUUUUUUGACGGGACAAGAAGAAUAAUAGCCAUCGUGGUUUGUACUCUCUAAUGAUCAGUCUUUCCUGCACUCGAUCCAACCUUGCUUGAGUGGUCCCAAGUGAAAAGGUGGAAACAGUUGGCGAAGCCACGAGAGAUUGUCACACACAAAUGCGCAACGCAGAACUGGAACCCGUGAACAGCAACAGUUGGAACGGAUAUUGCCUUUUGAAACAAUCUGAUACACAUUGACAAUCAAUCUCUUUGCAUUAUCAGAAUGAGUCCACAAAAUGGAAAAGUCUUCUUCAAUCAUUUUCUUCAGUACCUGAUUUGGAGCAUAGGGGUCAAUCUAUCUUGGGCCAAUCAUGUAAAGAAGCCCAAGGUUGAAAAGGACGAGCAUGAUCUAAAAUCUACUUUGGAAGACCUUCGUCAUCCAGAAAGAGGCCAUCGACCAGGGGGGUUACCUAUGAUAUCUGACUCUGCAUUUAGUCUCGUAAUUCUACUGUAUGUAUCAAUUGCCUUCGUCUUUGUGUUCUUCAUGUUCUGUUGGAAAAAUGAGAGCAGAAACGCCCGUAAUGGAAAGAAAGGUGAACGACAAUGUGUUUUGAUGACACAUUCGAUGAGUACCGCAAAUUUGGGCCAUGAUGAGCCUCUGCAUUCCCCAAACGUUAUUCCAGCCACACCUACUCGACUUUCACGACUUGACGAUGGCGAUGAAGUUUCUACUGAAACAAGCUACAGCUCGGAUAAAGAAACCUCACCAGUAUAGAUAUCAUCGUUUAUGUUAAGGUUUUGCGGUUCAGCUUGUAUUGAUUCAAAGGUCCAUGUUCAUUUAAUUGCAAGCUAAAUAAAUAAAGUUGACAACGUU